rnacentral:rRNA from 1 species
UGGGGAAUCUUGCACAAUGGGGGAAACCCUGAUGCAGCGACGCCGCGUGAACGAUGAAGCCCUUCGGGGUGUAAAGUUCUUUCGACAGGAACGAUAAUGACGGUACCUGGAGAAGAAGCUGCGGCUAACUACGUGCCAGCAGCCGCGGUAAUACGUAGGCAGCGAGCGUUGUUCGGAGUUACUGGGCGUAAAGAGUGCGUAGGCGGCGAGCCAAGUUUGGUGUGAAAUCUCCCGGCUUAACCGGGAGGGUGCGCCGAAAACUGGUUGGCUGGAGUAUGGGAGAGGAAAGCGGAAUUCCUGGUGUAGCGGUGAAAUGCGUAGAUAUCAGGAGGAACACCUGCGGUGUAGACAGCUUUCUGGACCAAAACUGACGCUGAGGCACGAAAGCGUGGGGAGCAAACA